GACGAACCGUGCAAACGUUAUUCGGAAUCACUGGGCAUAAAGGGCGCGUAGGCGGCUCCAAAAGUCAGGGGUGAAAUCCGGCAGCUUAACUGUCGCAGUGCCUUUGAUACUGUGGAGCUAGAGGGAGGUAGGGGUCUGUGGAACUUCCGGUGGAGCGGUGAAAUGCGUUGAUGUCGGAAGGAACGCCGGUGGCAAAAGCGACGGACUGGAUCUCUUCUGACGCUGAGGCGCGAAAGCCAGGGGAGCAAACGGG
rnacentral:rRNA from 1 species